rnacentral:rRNA from 1 species
UAGGGAAUCUUCGGCAAUGGGGGGAACCCUGACCGAGCAACGCCGCGUGAGUGAAGAAGGUUUUCGGAUCGUAAAGCUCUGUUGUUAAGGAAGAACGAGUGUGAGAAUGUAAAGUUCAUGCUGUGACGGUACUUAACCAGAAAGGGACGGCUAACUACGUGCCAGCAGCCGCGGUAAUACGUAGGUCCCGAGCGUUGUCCGGAUUUAUUGGGCGUAAAGCGAGCGCAGGCGGUUAGAAAAGUCUGAAGUGAAAGGCAGUGGCUCAACCAUUGUAGGCUUUGGAAACUGUUUAACUUGAGUGCAGAAGGGGGGAGUGGAAUUCCAUGUGUAGCGGUGAAAUGCGUAGAUAUAUGGAGGAACACCGGUGGCGAAAGCGGCUCUCUGGUCUGUAACUGACGCUGAGGCUCGAAAGCGUGGGGAGCGAACAGG